rnacentral:rRNA from 1 species
UAGGGAAUCUUCCACAAUGGACGAAAGUCUGAUGGAGCAACGCCGCGUGAGUGAAGAAGGGUUUCGGCUCGUAAAACUCUGUUGUUAAAGAAGAACAUAUCUGAGAGUAACUGUUCAGGUAUUGACGGUAUCUAACCAGAAAGCCACGGCUAACUACGUGCCAA